rnacentral:rRNA from 1 species
AUGCUUAAAAUUGAUCUUGCUAAGGCUUUCGAUCGUUUAGAAUGGAGCUUCAUUGUUUCAGCUCUUGCACGUAAAGGAUUGCAUGCUCAUUUCAUAAAUUUGAUUUAUGAGUGCAUUUCUUCUCCUACUUUUUCUGUGGUCAUUAAUGGUAGGCUUUCUCAUAAAUUCAAAAGUUCUAGGGGUAUUCGUCAAGGUUGUCCUAUGUCCACUUAUUUGUUUUUUAUUGCCAUUAAUGAAUUAUCUCUUGCUCUUAACGAAGCUUUAGCUGCUCAUAGUCUUCAGGGUAUUUUGCUUGGACCAAAUUGCCCCCCGAUUCACUCUCUUUUGUUUGCAGAUGAUUUGUUGGUAUGUGGUCAAGCUACUGUUCAGGAAGCUAAUGCUAUGGCCAACAUUAUCAAUCAUUUUUGUUCCAUGUCAGGUCAAACUCCAAAUUGGGCCAAGUCUGCUACUAUGUUUAGUGCUCAUGUUAGUUAG